CGGGUGGUAAUGCCGGAUGCUCCAGUUGAUCGCAUGGUCUUCUGGGAAAGCCUUUGCGGCAUGGGAUGGGGUCGCGUCCUAUCAGCUUGAUGGCGGGGUAACGGCCCACCAUGGCUUCGACGGGUAGCCGGCCUGAGAGGGCGACCGGCCACAUUGGGACUGAGAUACGGCCCAGACUCCUACGGGAGGCAGCAGUGGGGAAUAUUGCACAAUGGGCGCAAGCCUGAUGCAGCGACGCCGCGUGAGGGAUGGAGGCCUUCGGGUUGUAAACCUCUUUUGUUAGGGAGCAAGGCAUUUUGUGUUGAGUGUACCUUUCGAAUAAGCACCGGCUAACUACGUGCCAGCAGCCGCGGUAAUACGUAGGGUGCAAGCGUUAUCCGGAAUUAUUGGGCGUAAAGGGCUCGUAGGCGGUUCGUCGCGUCCGGUGUGAAAGUCCAUCGCUUAACGGUGGAUCCGCGCCGGGUACGGGCGGGCUUGAGUGCGGUAGGGGAGACUGGAAUUCCCGGUGUAACGGUGGAAUGUGUAGAUAUCGGAAAA
rnacentral:rRNA from 1 species